CGUAGUGACCUGCGGAGGNCAUUAUUG
rnacentral:rRNA from 1 species